UACGUAGGGUGCAAGCGUUAAUCGGAAUUACUGGGCGUAAAGCGUGCGCAGGCGGUUGUGCAAGACCGAUGUGAAAUCCCCGGGCUUAACCUGGGAAUGGCAUUGGUGACUGCACGGCUAGAGUGUGUCAGAGGGGGGUAGAAUUCCACGUGUAGCAGUGAAAUGCGUAGAGAUGUGGAGGAAUACCGAUGGCGAAGGCCAGCCCCCUGGGAUAACACUG
rnacentral:rRNA from 1 species